GAUGAACGCUGGCGGCGUGCCUAAUACAUGCAAGUCGAGCGAACGGAUGAGAAGCUUGCUUCUCUGAUGUUAGCGGCGGACGGGUGAGUAACACGUGGAUAACCUACCUAUAAGACUGGGAUAACUUCGGGAAACCGGAGCUAAUACCGGAUGAUAUUUUGAACCGCAUGGUUCAAAAGUGAAAGACGGUCUUGCUGUCACUUAUAGAUGGAUCCGCGCUGCAUUAGCUAGUUGGUAAGGUAACGGCUUACCAAGGCAACGAUGCAUAGCCGACCUGAGAGGGUGAUCGGCCACACUGGAACUGAGACACGGUCCAGACUCCUACGGGAGGCAGCAGUAGGGAAUCUUCCGCAAUGGGCGAAAGCCUGACGGAGCAACGCCGCGUGAGUGAUGAAGGUCUUCGGAUCGUAAAACUCUGUUAUUAGGGAAGAACAUAUGUGUAAGUAACUGUGCACAUCUUGACGGUACCUAAUCAGAAAGCCACGGCUAACUACGUG
rnacentral:rRNA from 1 species